UCGAGAGGCUUCCGCAAUGGGGGAAACCCUGACGGAGCGACGCCGCGUGGGUGAGGAAGGUCCUCGGAUCGUAAAACCCUGUCAGGAGGGACGAAAACCGGAUUGGCUAAUACCCUUUCCGCAUGACGGUACCUCCAGAGGAAGCUCCGGCUAACUCCGUGCCAGCAGCCGCGGUAACACGGAGGGAGCAAACGUUGUUCGGAAUUACUGGGCGUAAAGGGCGUGUAGGCGGUUCCUUAAGUCGGGGGUGAAAUCCAGUGGCUCAACCAUUGGCCUGCCUUCGAAACUGGGGAACUUGAGGCCGUGAGGGGAAAGCGGAAUUCCUGGUGUAUCGGUGAAAUGAGUUGAUAUCAGGAGGAACACCAGUGGCGAAGGCGGCUUUCUGGCGCGGUUCUGACGCUGAGGCGCGAAAGCAUGGGGAGCAAACGGG
rnacentral:rRNA from 1 species